AGUAAUGUCUGGGAAACUGCCUGAUGAGGGGGAUAACUACUGGAAACGGUAGCUAAUACCGCAUAACGUCGCAAGACCAAAGUGGGGGACCUUCGGGCCUCAUGCCAUCAGAUGUGCCCAGAUGGGAUUAGCUAGUAGGUGGGGUAACGGCUCACCUAGGCGACGAUCCCUAGCUGGUCUGAGAGGAUGCCAGCCACACUGGAACUGAGACACGGUCCAG
rnacentral:rRNA from 1 species